rnacentral:rRNA from 2 species
GUUAUAUGGUCAAGUGAAGAAGCGCAUACGGUGGAUGCCUUGGCAGUCAGAGGCGAUGAAAGACGUUGUAGCCUGCGAUAAGCUUUGGGGAGUCGGCAAACAGACUGUGAUCCAGAGAUCUCUGAAUGGGGGAACCCACCUAGCAUAAGCUGGGUAUCAUGCACUGAAUACAUAGGUGCAUGAGGCGAACCAGGGGAACUGAAACAUCUAAGUACCCUGAGGAAAAGAAAUCAACCGAGAUUCCCUUAGUAGUGGCGAGCGAACGGGGACUAGCCCUUAAGUUGAUUUGAGAUUAGUGGAAGGCUCUGGAAAGUGCCGCCGUAGUGGGUGAUAGCCCCGUACACGAAAAUCUCUUAUCAAUGAAAUCGAGUAGGACGGAGCACGAGAAACUUUGUCUGAAUAUGGGGGGACCAUCCUCCAAGGCUAAAUACUACUGACUGACCGAUAGUGAACCAGUACCGUGAGGGAAAGGCGAAAAGAACCCCGGAGAGGGGAGUGAAAUAG